rnacentral:piRNA from 1 species
UUUGACUUUAUUGAAGAUUCU